rnacentral:rRNA from 1 species
UACGUAGGGGGCAAGCGUUGUCCGGAAUCAUUGGGCGUAAAGAGCGUGUAGGCGGCUCGGUAAGUCCGCUCUGAAAGCCCGGGGCUCAACCCCGGGAGGCGGGCGGAUACUGUCGGGCUAGAGUCCGGAAGAGGCGAGUGGAAUUCCUGGUGUAGCGGUGAAAUGCGUAGAUAUCGGGAGGAACACCUGUGGCGAAGGCGGCCCCCUGGUUGGAUACUGACGCUGAGACGCGAAAGCGUGGGGAGCAAACAGG